UCAAGUUACUGAUUCUGAGUCAAAUACACACUUUACCACCCCAGGGGCUUCUGUUGGUGGCUCAGGCAGUAAAGAAUCUGCUGGCAGUGUGGGAAACCUGGGUUUGAUACCUGGGUUGGGAAGAUCCCCUGGAGAAGCAAAUGGCAACCCACUCCACUAUGCUUGACAGGAGAAUUUCAUAGACAGAGGAGCCUGGUGGUCACAAAGAGUCAGACACGACUGAACGACUAACACUUUCUAACAUCUGACCACCCAGACAGAGUCUCAGGACAGCCACUCUGCCCUUCCCAUCUUCGUCAAUGUUUGCAGUAAACGCCACGGACUGAUAUUUCUUCUUGCCGUCUGAUUCUGAAGUUAAACAUCGACCAGAAGAAGCUGUGCCUCAUUUAUGUGAAUAAUAAUGGACAACCAGUUAAAAAACCACAGACUUCCAUAUUUUUUGGAUCCCUGCUGCUGCUAUUUUUUUUUGGAUCCCUAGGGACUCAUAAACUCAUGCUUCCAGAUUAAGGGAAGGAGGAAAACCGUCCCCUACAUGCCGAACUAGGCUGCCUGCCAGUUCCCUAGAGCCCCAGUGGUCUUCAGGAUGGAGACAGUGAUAUAUGACAGCUGGAGAACAUUAUGACUUGAAGCCUUCAUGGUACUGGAAUUAAAAAAUCGGUCUGUGUGUGGUGUUAAUGUAUUUAGCAGCAUGAUUGAUAUAACAGAGUCUCGGUGAGGCGGACCAGGAGAGCACGCUCUCAAAAGGCCAACCUGGAGGAGCGCGUUCCACGUCUAGUAGCCGGCGGAAAUCACUCUGAAUUGGAAGACACUCUUGGGAACUUGACUGAAGACAAAAGGCGCCUGGCAGAUGUGGGUUGGAUGCUUAAAUUGGGCUCCAGGAGAGAAAGGGAGAGGAAUCUUCUGUGUCUCCAAGCAAAGAUGUAAAGAAGACAGAAACUGUUUUGGUCAUAAGGGAGGGUAAGUCUGGUGUAAGGCUGUCACUUGAUCUUUGUCCUGGGGCUAUUAUGUCCCCAUUGUACA
rnacentral:lncRNA from 1 species